rnacentral:rRNA from 1 species
UACGUAGGGUGCGAGCGUUGUCCGGAAUUACUGGGCGUAAAGAGCUCGUAGGUGGUUUGUCGCGUUGUUCGUGAAAUGCCCCAGCUUAACUGUGGGCGUGCGGGCGAUACGGGCAGACUGGAGUACUGCAGGGGAGACUGGAAUUCCUGGUGUAGCGGUGGAAUGCGCAGAUAUCAGGAGGAACACCGGUGGCGAAGGCGGGUCUCUGGGCAGUAACUGACGCUGAGGAGCGAAAGCGUGGGGAGCGAACAGG